ensembl:lncRNA
UGAAAUGAUAAAAUGGGAUCAUCACAAAGACUUUUAUUAAACAUGUGUAUGUAACACAUACUGUAUCAUGACACUGAACAGGCUGAUAAUUCCUGGACCAAAUCAGGCUGUGACAAGAACAUUUUCAAGAAUCAAGUCAGGAUUUUUAAUAAUAAUUUUAAAAAAAGACCAAUAUUAAAAAUAAAAUAAUCCACCGGCUUUCCCACGAGCAUCGGGUGCUUGGUCUCUAGAUGCCGCUGUAGUUUUGAGGGCUUGAGGGCUUCGUUGGACAGCAUUAGCCCACACUCCACGCACUGGGCUUUUGGCACUGCCUCUGUUCCUCCAUUUACGAAACCGUAUUUAAUGAAGUCGACAUUGUAUUUCCGCAAAAACUUUGUCUUUUGGGUGGAGGGGUCAGGAUGUUCGUCGUCAUGUUUUCUGUUAAAAAACGUAUCCAUAUUUGCCGCAGCGAGCAAAGAAGACUCUUCUUCUCUGUGUGUUGUGUUUUCUGUGGAGGUCUGCCGUUUGUGUAGUUUUGUUGUUUCUUAUUUACUUAGUUGAGUUGUUGAUGAACGUCUGAGGCUCGGCAGCCCAAUGGUGUAGUGCCUCUUUAAGAGAACGGUGUGCUGUGGGUCCAUGUGACCGGUGUUCGCCCAAUAAGAAGGUGGCGCAAGAGUUGUAUUAUUGCCACAUAACUUUGACCCGGUGUGCAGCCACUUGGAAAAUUGAGGAAUUGGAAAUUCCUCUGGCCACUGCUUGGUUCGAGAUGACAGAGACUCGGGGGAUGAAAGCAGUAUAGUAUCGUUUGAUGCCAGUGAAACACAGUCAUCCGACUCGGAUGAAACAGAAGCAGAGGACGCAGCAGUACUGGUCAACGUUGUUUGCUGGAUGACCUGCAUUUUCCCCAAAUUCUGAAGUUCAGCAGUAGAGUUCAGAUUGAAAAAAUCAUUGCCAAAAUCUUGGUAAGGAAAAUGUCAUUGCUACUCCCAUGGUCCCUGCACAUCGGAGAGAGGAGUUCAGCCGGUUCAUCACAGGUGAAAUACCACCAUUUAUAAGAUCGUUUAUGGCAUCGUACAUCGAUCCACCUGACAGAACAGAACAGAGACAAAACAUCGAAGAAUGGCAUAACCAAAUCCUAAACGAGGACGUCUACUACGACCACCAACGAAGGCUCUGAUACCAUAUGGACGAGUGGUGGCAGUAGCUCAGGAGGUAGAGCGGGUUGGCUGGUAACCGGAAGGUUCCCCGGCUCCUCCUAGAGGGUCGAGGUGUCCCUGAGUAGGACACCACACUCUGACUACACUGACCUGGCGUGGUUGACCCCACCAUUGGUAUGUGGACGAGUGAAUGAAUGGUUGUAAGUCGCUUUGGAGAAAAGCAUUUGCAAAAUCCCCUAAUUAAUGGACUAAUGGAGCCGGAGAUGAGGCUGCUGGCUUCCUUCUAUGCAACGAUAUAUCAUAAGAAGUAUAACAUCUAACUGUCACUUUUGCAGUUUUUCUGAAAUUUUCUCAGGCUCAACUAUGAACACUUUAACAUUAUUAUUUCUUUCUACAAUUAAGAUGACAGUAUAUUUGUAAUGGGAAAAAUCUGUUUUCACAUUCUGUGUCUCUGAAUUUGUUGGAAUUUGUUGUGUUCAAUUUGUUGUGUUCAAUGAACCCCUUCGGGGGAAGUGUUCAAAGGCUGUUUUCCUGACCCCCCCGGGGGAAGAAGGGACAGGCCAAGGAUCCAGGGAUUCCACCAAGAUAUUCAAAACACACAUGUACAUACAUGUACACAUAUGUAAAUAUUUGUCUAAAAUGUAAAUAUCAUGGUUGUCCAACUUUUGAAACAUAUGGGUAGUUUUCUACUUAGUUUGGAUGCUCUUAUUCAGUUUACCCUUUGGUUUGAUGUUUUAUGAUUUCUCUAUUCAUUGAUACCAUUGUUGAUAUUUUGAACAGGCUUCUAGCCUCCAUUAACCUGAAAAUGCCAGUCAACUAGCUAUGCUAUGGUGCUUACCACUAGCUUGGUAAGCAACCCACUCGUUUCAUGUUCCAUUUCCUUUUAAUGCAACUUUUUUUGUUGAAUAAUCCUUUCUUUAACAGUACAACAACAAUGAAUAAAUACACUGAUCUUUACCUUGAAACCACAUCUUGGCUUCCCAUCGGUAGCAGUAUAGAAUAACUAUUUCCCCAUUAGUAAGCUAUUAAUAAGUCCUUUCAUUGGUGGAUCUUUAGGACUUUUGGCACUAGUCAGAGAAAAUAGAACCCAUACCACCCAAAACGUAUU